CCUGGGGGAGGCCUGCGGUACAGUCGGGGGCCCAGCAGUCCCUGGAGCCCCUGUUCAAAUGGGGCCAGAGAUAACCGGUCAGCAAAGAACGGGGUGAAGCAGGAGAAAGUCAGGUCCAAGAGAGGUAGCGAUCCUGUGAGCUGGGAAGAGAUUCAUCGAAAGGAAGGCCCAGAGGCUUGCUGGCCUUGUUGGCUCAGGACGAGAAUCCCCUUAAGGAGGAAGAUGCCGUUGGAAUGAAAGCUGACAGCACAGGUGGCCCUUGGAUGUGGAAAACAAGUCUCUGGCGUGUGUCUUUGUACUUUAAUACCUUCUGCUGGAUUCUGCGAGCACAGAAGUAGCUCCUAGACUUGUUGACAUCUGUAAACACUUCUUUAGACAAAUCAAGGAAGGAAGGAAGGAAGGAGGGAACAUUCACUUGCACAAAACCUGCAUGACUUUUUGCCACAGCUGAAAAUACUGCCGGUCCAGUGAGUUGAACUCACCUGC